AAACGGGAAUUAAUACCUCAUGUAAUCUUAUUAACGCAUGUUAAAAAGAUAAAAGCUCCGGCGGUGUAAAAUGAGCGUGCGUCCUAUUAGCUAGUUGGUGAGGCAAUGGCUCACCAAGGCUACGAUGGGUAGGGGUUCUUAGUGGAAGAUCCCCCACACUGGCACUGAGAUACGGGCCAGACUCCUACGGGAGGCAGCAGUAGGGAAUAUUGGUCAAUGGGCGAAAGCCUGAACCAGCCAUGCCGCGUGCAGGGUGACAGCUCUCUGAGUUGUAAACUGCUUUUGUACAGGAGCAAAACAAUCCCUGCGGGGGUUCUUGAGAGUACUGUAAGAAUAAGCACCGGCUAAUUCCGUGCCAGCAGCCGCGGUAAUACGAAGGUGCAAGCGUUAUCCGGUUUUAUUGGGUUUAAAGGGUACGUAGGCGGCUUAUUAAGUCAGUUGUGAAAUCCUAGUGCUUAACGCUAGAACUGCAAUUGAUACUAUUAGGCUUGAGUUAAGAAUAGGUAAGUAGAAUUUAUGGUGUAGUAGUGAAAUGCUUAGAUAUCAUAAGGAAUACCAAUAGCGUAGGCAGCUUACUGGUCUUUAACUGACGCUGAGGCACGAAAGCGUGGGGAGCAAACAGGAUUAGAUACCCUGGUAGUCCACGCCGCAAACGAUGAUCACUCGGUAUACAUAAAUUUAUGUGUGUCUAAGCGAAAGCGUUAAGUGAUCCACCUGGGGAGUAUACUCGCAAGGGUGAAACUCAAAGGAAUUGACGGGGGUCCGCACAAGCGGUGGAGUAUGUGGUUUAAUUCGAUAAUACGCGAGGAACCUUACCUGGGCUAGAAUGUAUUUUGCUACUUUGAGAAAUUAAAGGUUCCUUCGGGACAAAAUACAAGGUGCUGCAUGGCUGUCGUCAGCUCGUGCCGUGAGGUGUUGGGUUAAGUCCUAUAACGAGCGAAACCCUUUUACUUAAUUGCCAGCACGUAAUGGUGGGAACUUUAAGUAGACUGCCCGUGUAAGCGGGAGGAAGGAGAGGAUGAGGUCAAGUCAUCAUGGCCUUUAUGCCCAGGGCUACACACGUACUACAAUGGCAUGUACAAAAGGAAGCUACUUGGUAACAAGAUGCAAAUCUCAAAAGCAUGUCUCAGUUCGGAUUGAGGUCUGCAAUUCGACCUCAUGAAGUUGGAAUCGCUAGUAAUCGCGUAUCAGCAAUGACGC
rnacentral:rRNA from 1 species